UGCAGUGCAGUGCAGUGCAGUGCAGUGCAGUGCAGUGCACUGCACUGCACUGCACUGCACUGCACUGCACUGCAC